AGAGUUUGAUCAUGGCUCAGAGUGAACGCUGGCGGCAGGCCUAAUACAUGCAAGUCGAACGGCAGCACAGCAGAGCUUGCUCUGUGGGUGGCGAGUGGCGGACGGGUGAGGAAUACGUGGGAAUCUGCCCAGUCGUGGGGAUAACGUAGGGAAACUUACGCUAAUACCGCAUGCGCCCUUCGGGGGAAAGCCGGGGACCUUCGGGCCUGGCGCGAUUGGAUGAGCCCACGUCGGAUAAGCUAGUUGGCGGGUAAAGGCCCACCAAGGCGACGAUCCGUAGCUGGUCUGAGAGGAUGAUCAGCCACACUGGAACUGAGACACGGUCCAGACUCCUACGGGAGGCAGCAGUAGGGAAUAUUGGACAAUGGGCGCAAGCCUGAUCCAGCCAUGCCGCGUGAGUGAAGAAGGCCCUCGGGUUGUAAAGCUCUUUUGUCCGGAAAGAAAAGCGCCGGGUUAAUACCCUGGUGUCCUGACGGUACCGGAAGAAUAAGCACCGGCUAACUUCGUG
rnacentral:rRNA from 1 species